rnacentral:lncRNA from 1 species
UCAAAACCUUCCCACAGAGACUAACUGUCGCACAUUUUACUUUUAAAUGUUUAAACUGAUUGAUUCUUUCUGACAACAUUUUCUUAAAGGCUUUUCUUCCCCUUCCUAAUGAAUUUGAAUCUUUCCGAAAGACCCGUGAUUGACAGAGCCAGACUGAAGCUUUAAGUUUCUCUGAAGACUGAGGGUUUGCAGCAGCCUGUCUGGGCCAGGUCUGGGCGAAGAAAAGAACUCCAGACUGAGGGUGAUGUGCAGGUCGCUGGCCUGGAGGAGCGGUGGGCGAGCAGCUGGCGGAGGGCUGGGCUCUGACCCUUCCCUGUAGAGCCCUCCUUUAAUACUGAACCUUCAAGGGUGAUGCCAGACCAGGAGACUGUGGCCGAUUUCUUGUUUCUCUCUGGCCACCAGGAGCCAAUCCAGUGGACCAUCUCAUCCUGGCCCCAAACAAGCACAGAGGUCCCUUUCUCCUCACAACUUGUCCACUGUGUGGCAAAUGUGAAGGAUGGAUUCCCCAGUUUCCACCCCAGAGGACUGGACUUUGGAGAGAGAGUCAGAAAACACUCAGGACUUGUACUCAAGUCUGCUCAAAAACGGAGUCUUCAUGUGACUAGCUGACCUGUGACUACUGACCAGUGAUGUCACGGAAAGAGAGGGAGUCCCGUCUCCUGGCUGAACUUGACCCUGUCUGGGCGGACUAUGAAUGGCCGUAACUAAAGGCUGAACACUCACUGGAGCAGGGCAUGGGACGUGGGAAAUUCACAUCCCCUCUGGUUCUCAUUUUCAAGUGCACGCAAGUGGGGAAAACUAAGCCACUGGUUUUCAGACUGAAAUGCAUGGACGUUCAGUGGUUCCUGAGAACCGCUACAGGUAAAGGCAAUCCAGCUGUGUGCAAGUGUCUGACUCCAGAACUGCCCCAUCUCUGACUUUGGGCUUUGAGGAGAUGGGUUAAGGGCAAACCUCGGGGAAUCCCACCUGGCACAGAGUAGAGAAAGCAUCUGGAACUUGUUAUGCAGGAGUUGGCACGAGCUGGGCAUCUCUCCAAGCUCAGGAGGUUUCACGGAAAUUCCUAGAUGAGAGAUGUUUACAAGUUGUGUCCCCAGAUAAACCAUCAUGUUUUCCCCUAAGAGGUCUCUCAAGGUCUCCAUCGAAGCCAGUAUGCUGGGUCAUAACAGCUGUAAGCAGAGAUGCUUCUGACCUCACUGAUGAGAAGAGCGCCGACUGCCUAGCUUGUGUCAUUAGGGGACUUUUAAUGACGAUAAACGUGUCUUCCUGCAUUCUCCUUCAGCCUUGUCUACAAAACCAUUUUCCUUCAGAUUCUAAGGACUGGCCAAGGCACUUUUCCUAUCCACAGUUGAUCUAAUAAUCUUCUCUUUUUUUUUUUUUUUUUUUUUUUUUUUUUUUUUUUGUGGUAGCUUGCUGAAGUCAAAGAGGCUCUGACCAACAGGAAAUACUUGAUCACUCCACUAAGAAAAUGUCAGAGAAAGAGGAAAUACCCACACAGACACGGGUCAUUAAAAAAAAAAAAAAAGAAAGAAAAAAAAAUGCACCUUUGCCGUUUUGUUGACAAAAAGCAGAUCACCUUGGCAAAGGACAUUCUAGAAUCUCUCCAGGAGAAUGGACUGCUUUUUUUUUCUCGUUUUAUAUAUAGAUGUGUUUUAGGGUUUUUUUUUUUGUUUUGUUUUGUUUGUUUGUUUGUUUGUUUGUUUUUUUGCUUUUUGGCUAUUUCGAUUUGCAUAUUUGAAAACAACUGAAAAAGCAAUUAAUUCAAAUCUAAAUAACUUUCAAGCUCAGAAUUACGUUUAUGGUCUUCUAGCAGACAAAUUUAUGGGGACGUCUGGGGACCAGGCCUCUGACACAGAAUAAGCAUCAAUCUCUCCUGGAGACUGGUCGCGGGUUUAUUUCUGAAACUUGUGUGGAAUGAGGGAGCAAAUCUAGAGUGUUUAAGAUCUAAUAAUAAUCACACACUUUAACACAUUCAAAUCAUGAUAUUUCAGGAGACAGCAACCUUGGCUUUGCUUAUAGCUCUAAGCAGGGCUGUUCCCAGAGGAGGACCGUCCUUCUGAGGAAAGAAGACACAGAGCUGGUUACAAUCCCAGGGAGGAUGUCUGCACAGAGAGGUAUUUUCCUUUCUUUCUUUUUUUUUUUUUUUUCCUCAAUACAAUUUACACAGAAGGGGCUCGCUGCCAAUGUGAUAAUUGAGAAACACCUGGUGAAAAUGUCUCUCUAUUAAUUGACAAUGGCUUUCUCCUCCCCAGUCCUCAUCCCUCAGAAAGAAAAAAUAAAAACAUAAAAGAAAAUAAAAGGCAAAACAAAACAAAAAACAAACAAACAAACAAACAAAAAACACGGAGGGAUAAAAAGGAGCAACCAAGAGAGUUUGAGGCAUAUAAUCUCCAAGGCCAAAAGGAAAGACAUAAUUUUCAAGGCCAAAAGGAAAUAAGGCAGGAAUUUGAUGGGUGAUUAAUGGCCGUGCUGGAGCAGUGAGAGUGGUGCUGAUGUCAGAGCCUCCAACAAUGAUUCCUCUUUGGAAAGAGGAAAAGGCAAGUGGAUCCCAAAAUAGCCAUUUUUAAAAAUCAGUUUUCUGAAACCUGUGAUAUUCUUCCUGAGUAAACUUGAAGCUCCAGAAAAGAGAUGGUCCCUCCUGGAAGAAGCAAUGAAUGGGCUUUCCUAGUCUCAAAUUCCAUUGGACUUACCCACCUACUAGUCCCAAAGGAUUGGCUGCAUCCCAGAACCUCCCUGGACCCUUUGUUUUCACAGCAGCUCCUAGGAAAGCCCAUCACCCAGAGAGCUUCAUCAGUGACGAUCUGAACACGUUGUGCACAGAGGAGAUUUGACCAGCGGGAAGCUGGUCAAAUUCAUAACUGAAAUUCGAUGUGUUUUUUCUGUUAUAAUUGCGGUAAAAGAUGUACUUUUGCAGUCAGUCUGGAUCACUCCUGAGAAAGAGAAAUAAAUCCUAUGUGAAUUUCAUUUCUCAAAAGAAGGUAUGCAGAGUGCCAGGUGUGUGAACUCUCUUUGUAUAUCACUCCAAUAGCAGCCUUAUGUCAUAUAUAUAGUUGGUAGUCAAAAAUUAUUUAGAAGAUGAAAGCAAUGAAUAAAAGAUAAUUGAUUAUCUCCUUAAAAAUCUGUUGGUUCCUUAUAUAAUUCUGGUUAAAAUCCUAGAGCUGAGAUUAUUAAACUAUAUGAUCUGGGAAAUUCACAUCCCCUCUGGCUCUAACCUUCAAGUGCACACAAGUUGGGAAAACUAAGCCACUAGUUUUCAGACUCAGACGUAUGGAAGUUUAGUGGUUCCUGAGAAGUGCUUCAGCUGAAGAAGGGUUCAAGGGCAUAGAACUUCCCCUAGCCUAUACCUACUUCUCUUACUUAACUGGAACAAUAAUUCACAUUUUACUUUUAAUCACUGGGUAUAAUUUAUAGACAAUGAAAUUCACCAAUUCCAAGUAUAUCAGUUUGAUAAAUUUUGACAAACUCACAUGGUUUGUAACUCCACCACCAUCAAGAUGUAGAAUACUUCCAUGACUCCAAAAAGUUUCUUCAGGCUCCUUUAUAGUCACUCCUCUUUUCCUACCAUGAUCACAAAAACAACUGCUUUCAUUAGUUUUUAUUUCUUCUGGAAUUUUAUAUCAACAGAAUUAUAUAAUAUGAAAAAGUUUUAUUUGUCUGAUUUAUUUCAUUCCACAUAAUACUUCUGAGAUUCAUCCAUAUUAUGGGGAGUAGUAAUUUCUCUUUUAUUGGUGAGUAAUAUCCUCCUGUAUGACUAUACUACAAUUUGUUCACCCAUUUUCCAGUGGAUAGACAUUUAAGUUGUUUCCAGUUUGGGGCUAUUAGGAAUAUCGCUACUAUGAACAUACAUGAAACAAGUCUUUGUGUGAAAGUAUAUUUUCAUUUCUCUUAGGAAAAUAUCUAAAAGAGAUUUUUCCAUUAUAUGGUCAUUAUGUGUUUAGCUUUAUAAGGAAGUCCCAAACUGUUUUUUCUGAGUGAAUGUAUCAUUUUGUAUUGUCAACAUCAGUGGGUGAGGGGUCUAGUAACUCCACAUACUGGUCAACUUUUGGUAUUUUCAGUCACGCAUGGAGUGGCAUCUCAUUGUGGUUUUAAAUUGCAUUUCUCUAAUGACUAAUAAAGUUGGGUGUGGUUUUAUGUCUUUAUUUGCCAU